AAGCGCUUGCAAUCAGACUUGCAUGCAGUUGAUCAUCCGAUGUUCUCACCGGUGCACUCAAUUGCAUUCAGGCCAGCAUCGGUUUUGGUGGUUGGAUAAAGACCUUGGGAAUGUGGCUUCCUUCGGGGAGUGUUAUAGCCUAAGGUGCAAUGCAGCCUACUAGGACCGAGGACCGCGCUUCGGCUAGGAUGCUGGCGUAAUGGUUGUAAGCGA
rnacentral:rRNA from 1 species